GUCCACGCCGUAAACGAUGGGCACUAGGUGUCGGGGGUAUCCACUCCCUCGGUGCCGCCGCUAACGCAUUAAGUGCCCCGCCUGGGAAGUACGGUCGCAAGAUUAAAACUCAAAGGAAUUGACGGGGGCCCGCACAAGCGGUGGAGCAUGUGGUUCAAUUCGAUGCAACGCGAAGAACCUUACCUGUGUUUGACAUCUGGCGAAUCUCCGUGAAAGCGGAGAGUGCCCGCAAGGGAGCGCCAAGACAGGUGCUGCAUGGCUGUCGU
rnacentral:rRNA from 1 species